AUGUUGCAAAUGAAUUUCAACGAACUCGAAAGGUUUACGAAAGAGGAAAAGAGGCGACGUGAUCUCAAGGGAACUGAAGAACGUACAUGUUACUCGAUCAUAACAUGUUGAAAAUUCAUAGGUUAUAACAAGUACCCCGUGCACAUGGGUGUGAUGCAGCUGAUGGAUUUUUAAGUGAUUGGUGGGGGCAAGACCCAAAUUCCCUGGAGAAUCUUUUGGAUGAAGAUUAUGAUCCGUCUCCAUCUACAUCCCAACUGACCCACAGGAAAGAUCGCAGGAGAUCAGUUUCCAGAACCAAAGAUACAGUUGUGGUCCCCGAAAAGCGUUCUAAAUUCAAGGUUGCUCGCGUACAUUCUGAUGACGAGAACGCUUUGCCUGAAAAAGAAAGUGAGUCAGGGCCAGACCCAAAUUCCCCGGAGAAUCUUCUGGAUGAAGAUUAUGAUCCGUCUCCAUCUACAUCCCAACUGACCCACAGGAAAUAUCGCAGGAGAUCAGUUUCAAGAACCAAAGAUACAGUUGUGGUCCCCGAAAAGCGUUCUAAAUUCAAGGUUGGACAACAUGUUAUACUUACAGAUGAUAAGGGACAAGAGGUUGGAAAAGGAACCAGAAACAAGUGUACAUCAGUUUGCCGGAAAAGGAGCUCCCUGAAGGUCUAAUUCACUCUUGAAGAUAAUCUUUUCUUCUAUCUCAAUAUGGUGUAAUUGGUUCUUGUCAUUAAAACUAGAAACAAGUUUAGAUGGUGUUUGUUUUUACCGCGAGUACAAUUGGCAAACUUAAAUUUUUCACCUCCUUGAAGGGACUACAAGUCCAAGAAAUUCCUGAGUCAUUUGGUACUAUGAUAUUACUAGGAAAAUGGGAGAUGAAGCAUGCUUUACUUUAUCUAGUGAAAUGCCCCAGUCAUUUGGUAUUUUGAUACUCUCCCUAAUUUGUA
rnacentral:lncRNA from 1 species